GACGAACGCUGGCGGCGUGCUUAACACAUGCAAGUCGAACGGAAAGGCCCUGCACUUGUGGGGUGCUCGAGUGGCGAACGGGUGAGUAACACGUGAGUAACCUGCCCUUGACUUUGGGAUAACUUCAGGAAACUGGGGCUAAUAUCGGACAUGAGCACCUGCUGCAUGGUGGGGGUUGGAAAGUUUCGGCGGUUGGGGAUGGACUCGCGGCCUAUCAGCUUGUUGGUGGGGUAGUGGCUUACCAAGGCUUUGACGGGUAGCCGGCCUGAGAGGGUGACCGGCCACAUUGGGACUGAGAUACGGCCCAGACUCCUACGGGAGGCAGCAGUGGGAAAUAUUGCACGAUGGGCGGAAGCAUGAUGCAGCAACGCCGCGUGCGGGAUGACGGCCUUCGGGUUGUAAACCGCUUUCGCCUGUGACGAAGCGUGAGUGACGGUAAUGGGUAAAGAAGCACCGGCUAACUACGUG
rnacentral:rRNA from 1 species